GGGUAGAGCUCCUGGAAGCCCCUCCCACCAUGGACUGGACUCCCUUCUACUUCCUGCCCCUGAUUUUCUCCACAGGUCUCUGUGCUGCACCUGUGCUGACCCAGCCCCCAUCUGUUUCUGGCUCCCUGGGAGCCUCUGCCCAGCUCACCUGCACCCUCAGCAGUGAGUACAGCACCUACACCAUUCGCUGGUAUCAAAAGAGACCAGGAAAUGGCCCUCAAUACCUGAUGUACAUUAAGAGCGAUGGAAGUCACAGCAAUGGGAAUGGAAUCCCUGAUCGCUUCUCAGGCUCCAGCUCUGGGGCCGACCGCUACUUAACCAUCUCCAGCCUCCAGUCUGAGGAUGAGGCUGAGUAUAUCUGUGGUGAGAGUCAUGCACAAGACGGCCUUUUCACAAGCCACAGUGACACAGACAAAAGGGAAGUGAGGCUCAAACCUCCAUCCCCCUUCCCCUCCCCCACAGAGACUUGGGCUAAGCUGCUCCCUGUCCUUGCCCAGGACCCUGAGACAUUUACAUCUUCUCCUGCAAAUCCUAUCGUCCUGUACUUCCUCCCCAAAUCACCACUUGGGACAGUGACGUAUGGUCACAAUGUAGGUCAUUAUGACAAAGCAAUGUCCUGUUCCCUCCAAUACAGGGGUAUACGCAGGACACUGGGGGAGACCCGAGCAGCCCAGACAGAAACAUGACCCUGAGCAUGUGGCUGGGCUGAGAUGACCUCCACCCCAGGCGCCAUCUGGACUUUGCUUUUAUCUUG